rnacentral:rRNA from 1 species
GAUGAACGCUGGCGGCGUGCCUAAUACAUGCAAGUCGAGCGAACAGACGAGGAGCUUGCUCCUCUGACGUUAGCGGCGGACGGGUGAGUAACACGUGGAUAACCUACCUAUAAGACUGGGAUAACUUCGGGAAACCGGAGCUAAUACCGGAUAAUAUAUUGAACCGCAUGGUUCAAUAGUGAAAGACGGUUUUGCUGUCACUUAUAGAUGGAUCCGCGCCGCAUUAGCUAGUUGGUAAGGUAACGGCUUACCAAGGCAACGAUGCGUAGCCGACCUGAGAGGGUGAUCGGCCACACUGGAGCUGAGACACGGUCCAGACUCCUACGGGAGGCAGCAGUAGGGAAUCGUCCGCAAAGGGCGAAAGCCUGACGGAGCAACGCCGCGUGAGUGAUGAAGGUCUUCGGAUCGUAAAACUCUGUUAUUAGGGAAGAACAAAUGUGUAAGUAACUAUGCACGUCUUGACGGUACCUAAUCAGAAAGCCACGGCUAACUACGUG